rnacentral:ncRNA from 1 species
GCGGUUCCGGUUCACGCCCAGGCGCGGUAGCGUGCCCAUGGCGACCCGGCGACC